CUACAGUUAUGACCGUUGCAAUAGACUUUCAGCCCUAUUAGAACACCUUAACAAGUUAACCGUUGCAGUAGUUUAAAAACCGUCUCCACAGAUGUAUCUAUUGCUACAGGUAAAGUAACCGUUGUAAUAAGUACCUUUGAGGCAAUGUUUCUCGUGGAAAAAAUUAGAUAUUACAACAAUGUUUAUACUCCCUCGUCUUUCUAAAAGACUAGAGCUGACACGGUGCUCUGGCAAACUCUUACCUCAGGCAAGUUCAUCUCCAGAAAACUCUCUGGUUUCCCUCGAACAAGGCACAAACUGCACCUGUCGUUCCUAGUUGGCUGAUUUGAUUUCAUUUUUUAUCUAUAUUGAGAACCCAAAAGGUAUUUUUGCAAUCCUAUAGUUUUUACAGUAUUUGGUCCACCUGAGUUUUGGGGAAAUGCUUCAACUGUAGUUAUAUAAAGUUAUGAGAUUUACUUUAACUCAUUUGGUGUAGUCCUUAUUGCAUAUGGUCGAGCCAUGUGAGAUUUAUGGGUAUGGGUCUCACUGAUGUUGAUUCGAUUCAUAUUUUGUUGCCGCUAUUAAUCUAAUCGAGCCAUGUACAGAUUCAAUUUCAUAUUUUGUUGUCAUUAUUUUUUUUCUCCAUUUCAUUGGUUGAUUGUUUUGUAGAUUCAAUAUGGUCUGACAGUUAGUGUUAGGGUUUUGAAUUUUUCUUUUUAAGAUUUAGGUUUAAUUUCAUCUUUCUGUUAAUUUAGUUUUGAAUUCCUGUUCUAGACCCCACUUGUGGGAUUUUCCUGGUCAUGUUGUUGUUGUUGUUCUUAUAAGACAAUCCAAUUCUAGUUAUUUUAGGUUUUUAGAGUUCAAUUUAUUGGAUUGUGGAAAAUCCUUUACUUUGUGUAGGAAAAAAGAUCUACUUAUGUUAUAGAUUAAAUUGACAAUAUGUAGAUCAAAUCCAAUUCCUCGAAGGUUGUUUUUUUCAGAUAGAAAAUGUUACUACCAAUUAACAUCAAUUUUCUAAUAAUGCUUGCGACAAUACGUACUAGUACUAAAUUUUUUAAGAAAGGUAAUUAAAUGAGAAAGAGGUACUGCUAUUGAUGUGGCUUUGGUUGAUGAUAUUAAUGGAGAAAUUGUUGACUAUGCACCAGAAGCCUCUACGAUAGUAGAGAUUGUUGUUAUGAAAAAAUAUUUGGUGAUUCUGUAGGAGAUAAUUGAACUUCUGAAGAGUUCUAUAGCAAUAUUGUGCGCGAUAGGAAAGAUGUAUGUGAGUGUCUUCUUGCAGAAAUAAUACACCUUAAACUGAGUAGAGGCAUAGGUUUUACGGAUAAAAUCUGUUUCACCCAUUAUUUGAGCUAUAUAAGGAUGAAUGUGUUCCAUCAAGGUGCAAGGAUUACUGAAUGUUUCGAUGAUAAUCGAGUAAAACAAGCAAAGACAGAACUUUUCACUGCAAUGUAAGUUCAUCUACUAUAUUUGCAAGAACCCUUCCUGUAAUUCUCGUACUUGAAUAGUGAUCAAGUGCGAUAAGGAAGAUUAUUGAUGAUAUAAUUAAGUAAAUAAAAGUGUACUCUCACAAAUAUCUAAAGCUUUUAGAUGAGAUAUGACCACACAAUUCAACAAAGAUAAAUUCAAGAUAGUAAACAGAUGUUAUAUACAUAUGACUGACAACUCUGAUUUUAUUUGUAGAUCCCUUAUUUCUAUACGAUGGGGUACAACUGUUGAAAAACAUAAACAGAGAUGGUAAGAACCACCUCCGAGAUGAAAAGUUCAGACAAUAUAAAACUUUCUAAUUCUUCUUACCAGAGACUCCAAAAGAUUCGAAUGUGUAAUUGAUUUUGUUUUUACUUUCUCUUCUUCUGCAUCUAUGAAAUACUUCUACCUUGAAUUUAAACAUAGUUAGCUUAUGAACUCCUACUACACUAGAAUUUUUCUUAUAUCAAGGGAUUUAACAAACCAAUAAGAUUAUUUUACCCUAUUUGCACAGUAUAAGUUUUCGAAUCAAUUGAACCCCUUCCCUUGCACUAUCUCAGUCCCUACCUGAGUUAUAUGCAUAUCAAAACUAUAACAUGAUAUAAACUAGGAGUUCAAUUAAGUUGUACUCAGGUUUACUAUGUGUACUAUCAAAUUUAACCUUAUAUAUCAUGAACUCUUUAAAGCCACUUUUUCAUCGUUUGGUACUAUUUUUCAACUCCUUCCAUUUCCUACCUAAAGUAAUAAUUUACUUUCUAUUGUUAAUAUACAUGUACUUAAUCUAACGCCAUAAAUUUGGAGCGAGACAAGUCAUGAUGAAAGCUACAUACAUAACUACAGGAUGUGUUGUUAUACUGAUUCUCAAUAAAAUGCAGCAGUGCUAUUUGACAUUUUCGAGAAAGUGCUUGGAAUAAUUAUGGAAUGAAAAUAUAUACCUACGCUUGGAUUGUCCGUAAGAGAUAAGGAGAAAAUCCUUGCUGCUGAAAAUGCAAAACUGAGGAAGAAGAGAAGGGGUUGGAUCCGAUGAGCUUGGUGAAGCAUUUAAAUGCUUCUGUUGUACCCUUUACUUCUUCUAAUAUCCAUAUGAGCAUAGGACAGUAUUCAUAUGAGGAAAUAAUAGGUGUGCCUAACAAAUUCAAUUUGACACAUGGAACAAUGAACAACCUAGCUGAAGUACAUCGGUUUGUUUCUUUUUUUUUG